AUGGCUUAGUUAGGGGAUUUCUCCUCCGUUCAACCCCUCCAAUAAUGUCCGGUAGCGUCACCCUAUACCCUUAACCCUCACAUCCAAACAAAAACCAUUGAUCUCAAAGAUAACAAACCGUAGAACACGAUGCACAAAGGAACAUUUUUACAAAUGUCAGAAGAACUGUGCAGAUACAGUGUUUACAACUGAGAGAAAUUGUACUCCAAUUCUGUUACCAAACUUUGCAUAUGUACAGUUUUUCCAGCAAAUACUUAUUUUAUUUACUGUGUAAAUUAGUCAAAGUAGUCCUUGUGCAUCCAGAGCCUUGUGGAAGUGUGUGUUCUCAGAGUGACGAGAGGUGGUGGGUUUGCGCCAGACGUUUUCCUUGAUGGCCAAAAAGCUCCAUUUUAGUUUCAUCUGACCAGAGGACCUUCUUCCAUACGUUUGGGGAGUCUCCCACAUGAUUUUUGGGGAACGUCAAAUGUGUUUCCUUAUUUUCUUCUGGCCACUCUUCCCUGAAGCCCCUCUCUGUGGGGUGUACAGCUUAAAGUGGUCCUACGGACAGACACUACAAUCUCAGCUGUGGAGUUUUACAGCUCCUUCACGGUUAUCUUUGGUCUCUUUGUUGCCUCUCUGGUUAAUGCCCUACUUGCCUGGUCCGUGAGUGUUGGUGGGCGGCCCUCUCUCGGCAGGUUUGUUGUGGUGCCAUAUUCUUUCAUUUUUUUAAAUAAUGGAUUUUAAAUGGUGCUCUGUGGGGAUGUUCAAAGUUUUGGAUAUUUUUUUUUUUUAUACCCCAACCCUGAUCUGUACUUCUAAACAACUUUGUCCCUGACCUGUUUGGAGAGAACCCUGGUCUUGAUGGUGCCGUUCCUUAGUGGCGUUGCAGAAUCUGGGGCCUUUCAGAACACACACACACACACUGAGAUCAUGUGACACUUAGACUGCACACAGGUAGACUUGAUUAAUUAAUUAUGUGACUUCUGAAGGUAAUUAGUUGCACCAGGGGCCUGUUGCACAAAAGUAGAAUUAAGACAUCCGGGAUAAAUGACUAAGCUGAGCUCAAUGAAGCCAAAACAUGUGCGUCCAGGCUUAAUUGGUUGCACAAAGACCAAGCCAGGAUGAGCAGACACGGAUUCAUUAAGCCGGGUGAAACCAAUCCUGGAUAGGUGCUCGCUCACGGCUCACUCAAAUAGACCCCGCCACAGAUCACAGAUUAACUGAUUUACCAUGGCAACUAGAGCCGCGUACUUUUCCCCGUCGGAAGCACAAAUCCUCAUGGAGGCAUACGAUGAGGUAAAAGAUAUAAUUAAGAAGAAAGGCAACACCGCCACAGUGAUAAAGCAAAGAGAAAAAGCGUGGCAAAGUAUUGCAGACCGCCUGAAUGCCAGUGAAAAAGAAUACCCACAGACAAGGCACGGGUGGUGGGUCACCAAAGGCUGACCUUACCCCAGCAGAGGACAUGGCCUUGGAGCUAAAUAAAGGCAGGCCAGUCUUAGAGGGGAUCCCUGGGGGGAAAGAGACGAGCAUAGGUUCCUCCCAAGAUGCCACCCGCUUCAUUCAAGUGUCUGGCAGCACUGUGUUCCUGUUAGAGCCACCAGCACAAGCACCAGACGAUGCUGAUCCAGGUGAAGGCCCCAGUGCAGCAGCAACAGCACAUGAUGGAGACGAUGAUGAUGAGGAGGAGACCAUCUCUCUGGAUUCCAGAAGGCAUGAGGUAUCAUGGUAAGACUGUGAAAGUACUAUUUACUCUACAAUGGUGAGGAGUCCUCAUCAAAAUCAAAAAAUCUAAUUUCUUUUACAGGACCCAGAUGCUAUACAGUGGGAAAACCAGCCUGGCAACAUAGUGCAUAUUAAUAAAAGGACACCACAUCCUGCCAAAUUCCAGCUGCGCUAAUUGUAUUGUGUUCACAGAGCUUACAAGCUAUCAGAAAGUUGUAUGGCAACCACCUCCGGCGCCAAAUAGAACUGGCAGACAUAGACAUUCAGUACAAGAAGAAAAAGAUGGAAAAUCUUGCACUGGAGUCCGAAAUAAAAAAGAGGACAAUUAGGAAACUGGACCUUGAAAUAAAAAAACUUGAGAGGGAGGUGAGAUAUGCCUUCAAUGUACACUGUAUGCUAACUGUAACACAAAUGUAUUAAUCAUUAUUUGUAUUUCCUCCCCCAGCUCCAAGAAGAUGACACAGCUCAAAAUAAAAAUGAGGUAUAUUCUCGUAAAGUCAAGUGAGCCAUGACAUAUGAGCUCUUAUUGUGAGCACACAGGACGGUGGCAUCUUUCUAAGUUUUUUUUUAUUUUCCCAGCAAUCAGUACAACCAAGUCAUCGUUAUAAGGCAUCGCCCUCUUUUGCCCACCCCCCCAGCACCAGGUGUGGCCACUAGCCUAUAUGAAGGCCCAAAAUUGUGUGUUCCUUUCUGCUCUGACAAUGGCAUGCCCAUUCGUGCGAGAUGUGGUGGAUGAAGAAGCACUUGUGCUGAGGAGAGCCUUCAGGCGAGAAAGGGUCUUCAGGGACCGGUUGGACCCACUGGCCUUCCCUGACGACCAUCUAUAUGAAAGAUACAGGUUUUCUGCAGAUGGCAUCAGGUAUCUAUGCAGACUACUGGGUCCCAGGAUUAAGCACCGCACUGCACGGAGCCAUGCACUGAGUGUGGAGCAAAUGGUUUGUGUGGCCUUGCGCUUUUUUGCUAGUGGAGCCUUCCUGUACUCAGUGGGGGAUGCAGAACAGCUGAACAAGGCCACAAUUUGCCGCACAAUAAGGAGUGUGUGUCUGGCUAUCAAAGCAUUAGCAGAUGUCUUCAUCUCCUUCCCUGGCCACAGAAGACUGUGACAUCAAAGAGGAGUUCUAUAGGAUUGCAGGUAAGAGGAUCUACAAAUUACAGGACAACUGUUAACACAUAGUAGGAUACUCAUUACUUUGUGUGACAGGUUUCCCCAAUGUCAUUGGUGCAGUGGACUGCACACACAUAAGGAUAAAAGCCCCCUCAGGUGCCCAUGAGGCCGAUUUUGUGAAUAGGAAAUCCUUUCACAGCAUUAAUGUUCAGAUGGUCUGCAAUGCUGACUGUGUGAUCAGCAAUGUUGUGGCAAAAUGGCCUGGCUCAGUCCAUGACUCCAGAAUCUUUCGGGCCUCUGAAAUCUAUAAGUGCCUAUCACAUAAGCCACACAACCCCUAUUUAUAACCAUCAUGGCUGUGUCAAGAAUAUCACUGUGUUUAUGAGGUAGUAAUGAUGAGAUUUUGUGUUGACAGGUGAAUUCUCUGGUGUGUUGCUGGGAGACAGGGGGUAUGGCUGCCAGCCUUUUCUCCUGACACCUUUCACAGACCCCCAGGAACACAGCAGGCCUACAACCAUGCCCAUGCCAGGACCAGGGCCAGAGUUGAAAUGACCUUUGGCCUCCUGAAGGCACGCUUUCACUGCCUUCACAAAUUAAGGGUCAGCCCUGUUAGGGCAUGUGAUAUUACUGUGGCUUGUGCUGUCCUCCACAAUGUGGCCUGCCUGAGGAAGGAGAGGGCCCCCAGAGUGCCACCAGCCAUGGACUGGGACAAUCCGGCAAUCUUCCCUGAUGACGACAGUGGUCGGCUGCUGAGGGACCAAUAUGUGUUGAAUUAUUUUAGUUAGUAUGUGUGCUUUCAAUUUUGGUUAAAUAUGUCCUGCGGUGGCAGAGGAAUUUGGGUUUUUUUGGGUUCGUUUUUUUUACGAAUUUGGCCUCUUAUGAUGUUUGUGCGGUAUACUGUGUGUAAUACAAGGCUGCAGGGAGGCUACUGCAUCCAUUCAUUUGUCUGUUCAGUUGAUGUGUAUGGAUUUGUCCUGCAUUUAUUUUAGUGUGCAGACAUGCAGGGUGUGUUAUAUACAGACCUUUGAAUGUGUAUGUAUCAUUUUGUAUAAUAUGCUUGGAUUCUGUGCUUUCCAUCUUGUAGAGUCACUGUGACUUCAGUUUCGAAAGGAGCUGAUGGUUUACCUGCUUUGUUUUGUCCUUAUUCAAUAAAGGAACAUAAUGUUACACAUUGUGUUUUUAUAUUCAUAUGGAAUGUGUAUUUGUUUAUAUGACAGAGUACUAGGGCCACACUGAAGAAAAAGGAUAAAGUCAUACAUUUAUGAGGCUGGUUCUUUCUGCAGAAAAGCUACAUAUUGUUUUUACAGUUUUGAUACUUAUGACAAUGUGAUACUUAAUAUUCUGGCACAUCAGCAUGUCUUUGUUUAUGAAACCAUACUGAAGUACAAUUUCACGAAAUGCCCCGCAUCUGUCAUUUUAACAACUGUCCUCCUUUAAAACAACUGGUUACAAUAUUAUGACUUGUCUUU